GUAAGAUUUCCUAACACCUGUGUGCAGCUGUUAAAUUCAUAGGAGCAUGUUAGGAAUUAAUCGUUGUAUGAUGAAUUAAUAAUAACCAAGAAACGAUCAUCGGGCAAAGUUGAGUAUUAAUUCAAUUUAAUAUUCCUUCAACUUUUGGCACCUCAUUUUUUGACACUCUAUUUACAGUUCCACCAAGAAACAAUUUACUUUCAGCCGGUUUACAUUUUCGUACAAACAAUUCAUCUACUUCUCGCAUUUCGAAUUCCGUUGUGAAGAACAAAGCCAAGGUUGUUGCCUUAGGUACUUUUAUAUUAAGUAUUUUGUAUUUCAUUUCAUUCAUGUGCUCAUUUCAUUUCAUGUUUAUAUCUUUCAUUGUGUGUGAGUAAUUCCUUUGGUGAGAUUUGAUCAUAAGGGAUUCGAGAGGCUAUUGUGCGUUCGGUUGAGUUCAGUGGUUCCGGAAAUAUCAGAACAGAUAUCGUGGACAGUUCGAACCUAGCGGGUGAUCUCCGCUAGGUAAGGGUUGUCCUACGCCAAGCAAAGAUUAGGGCAUACCACGCCCCAAAAUGACAAAAUAAUGUUAAUAUUUUUGUGAGACAGGGGGAGUAUAUAUUAAAGCAAAUAAUUUACUUGCAAAAAUUUUCCUCCAAAACUAUCAUUGAUAUAUCCAAUGAAUAUUAGGUUUAAGUUUUUAACUAUUGGUUAAUGGGUCGUGAUUGUUAUCCAUCAAAUACUUUAUCAAUAAAGAAAUAGAAAUAUUUAUAAAAACAUUUUAUAUCAUUUAGUAAUGAGUUUAACUGUUAAAUAAAAUAGGCAAUUGAUCUAAUAUCAAAAUUAGGGCUGGUAAUCGGUCCGAUUCAGUUAUAAUCGAACUGAUUUUUCGGUUAACUGGAACAAUGAUAACUAAAAACCGAAUCGAUUUUAAGUUCGGUUAACUACAUGGAAGAUCAAAUCGUGCAUAAGAAAUUAGGGGAAGUGCGCGGGAGUUGGCAGGUGGGGAAAGAGAGAAGAGGGAAGAAGGCGGUGGCCGCGGGGAGGAAAGAAAAAGGGGACGGCGCUUCUCGCCAUUCGCCGAGAGAAGAGGGGGCGGUGGCUGUUCACGGCGAGGGUAGAAGAAAGAGAGAAAAUUAGGGAUUUGAUCUAGGGAGAGGGGUUUUCUGAAAUUGGAGGAAUUUUGGAGGUUUCAGUGUUUUGAGACAGGGCAGGAGGAGAAGAAGCUGAUGCCGGGAAUGAGAAGUGGCAGAGGCGGUCGCCGCUGCAUGUGUUACGGCGAGGAGACAGAGGGAGAGAGGCAGUGAAGGCAGUUGGCGUGAGAGAGAAGGAAAGAAACAUUAGGGAAGUAGAGAGGGGGUGAGAGGCGAGGGGCGAAGGCGUGUACCGGCAGCAAAUUCGCCGAAGUCUGGGGUUGCAGGCGGAGCCUUUUUUUUUGGCAGCACGAAGCAACCGACUCAAAACUGGAAGCACGAAAGCUUGAGCCUUUUUUUUCUUUUGGCAGAGCACUUUUGACUAACUUAACAAAAGGCUAGCUAUUAAGUUGUAGGCACUAUUAUCAAGAUAGUAUAUUUGGCAGAGCACUAUUAUUUCAAUAUAUAUACCUAUAUACAAAUAUAUAUAUGUAUAUAAUUAUUUAAUUAUAUAAACCGGUUAAUUCGGUUUUGACCGGUCGGUUACCGGUUAAACCGAUUAACCGGUUAACAGACAAACACAUAACCGAUAACCGAACCGAACCGGAAAAUUCCAAUUAUCGGUUAACCGAUUAACCGGUUUUUCGGUUCGGUUAUGGUUAUAACCGGAUAACUGAAACUGUUUUACCACCCCUAAUCAAAAUAGUUAAUUUGAAAGAAACUAUAAACAUAAAACACUCAUAAUUUAUGUUUACAGUAUUGUUUAUAUUUUAAAAUAUAUAUUGUUGGUUCUUACAAUUAAUCGAUGAACAAAUCAAUAUAUUUUGUAUAAUUUUAAUAUAUAUUGUAACAUUUGAACUUAUCAUAUGGAUAUUUCAUUAUACACAAGAAAUUCUAUAAGAUAUUUGUAUUGUGUAACACAUUGACACAAAAUUAUAUUUUUAGCAAUGAUGUUUUAUAAGUUUAGUUACUAUCAAAUAUAUAAUACGGUUAAGGAAUCCUGCGCUCUCCUUAAUCCGGGGUCCUACGUGGUAUAUCUAAGAAUUCACCAUUCAAAAUCCCUGCAAUUCUAGAGCCUCUAGCUCAAUUCUCCAUCGUUGACGUGACAAUAUAAUUCCACAUGUAAUAAUAUACUAGUGUGUAACCCGUCGAAUUUCGACGGGUAUCAUUUAGUGUUAUAAUUUAUAUAUAAAAAAUGUAAAAAUUCUUUCUUAAUAUAUUUAUAAAUUAUGGAGAUUAUUCACUAAAAAAAUUGCUAAUAUAAUAUAGGUCUAUAUUACACAUCAAACUAAAAUGAAAAAAUAAAUUAAAUAGGGCUUUCAUCCUUAACAUGACUUAACGAAAUGUAUAUUCGAAAAAAUUAUUUGCCAUCCACUACUAUUUGCCACCCAUAACCGUCACCCGUCAGAUACCCGUCACCCGUCUGGUCUCCGCCACCCACUACCCGUCAGAUACUCGCCACUCACUACCCGGCGGACAUCGUCACCCGUCAGAUACCCGUCACCCGUCUGGUCUCCGCCACCCGCUACCCGUCAGAUACUCGCCACUCACUACCCGUCGGAUGUCCGCCGUGACUUGCGAGGUAGGGGAAUUGCUGCUUCUUGACGUCGACAUUCUACAAUCAACCACCCAACAAAUGCAAUAAAUCAACUACAAUCAUCUCGAUUCCUUCCUUCGUUAUGUCCUUUUGAAUCCACAAUCGAAGUAUCCUGACCACCACAAACUUAUUUCUUGUGUUACCAUUUAUGGCAUUCAAUCGAACUUGCUUGUUUGAUGUUGACAUCUCCUAUGUUUAAGAUAGAAAUAUUAAAAAGACAUAUUAGCUAUCUUAAAAAUAGAACUGAAAAUAAAAUAAUUUUUAGUAACUUAAAAAUAAUUAGUUGAAAAUUAAAUUUAUUCCUAUGUUUAAGAUAGAAAUAUUAAAAAGACAUAGAUAUCUUAAAAAUAGAACUGAAAAUCAAAAUAAUUUUUAGUAACUUAAAAAUAAUUAGUUGAAAAUUAAAUUUAUGUUAUAGUGACAUGUCAAAAAGAUUGGGAAAACAUUAAAAAACAUAGAACAUUAUUAAUCAUGUAUGGUUAAUAAUAAUACCAAAAAAAAUAUCCUAAUUAAUAGUAUCACGAAUUAUUAAUUAUUAGAAGCAAUGAAGAAGAAACAUUUAUGAAAUUUAAAAAUAAGAUGCUCACAUGAUUCCUGAUUGAGCAUUCGAUUCUUGGUUCAUUUUGUAAUGUUGAAGUUUAAAUUCUUGAUUGAGCAUUCGAUUAUUAUUUCCCAUCGCUAAAGUGAUUUCUCUGAAAACUGAGAAAUAAGUAAAAUAUAGAAUCUAUUAUUAUUUUAUUUUAUUUUAUUUGCUAAGAAACUGUAGAUAAAGUUGAAGUUUUAAAUUAAAAAUAUGAAACGACAAUAUAGUAAAUGAAACAAUAGACACACACUGAAGUUUUAAAUUAAAAAUAUGAAACGACAUUAUAGUAAAUGAAACAAUAGACACACACGCUAUGCUACUAUCUCUCUUUCACACACAGACACACACAUUGCGUUUAUGAGUUAAAAAAAAGAAACAGGUAGACUUUAAGCCUGUUCAAGGGGACUGACGGCGGGAUUGCGACAGCAACGGCGAGAAACCGACGCCGGAUGGUAAUGGACAUACAUGAAUACAUGAACUAAUGGAUAUGCAUGAAUACAUCGAAUUUGAACAGUACCAUAAAGUGAGUUAAUAAUCCAACUAUAUCAAAAUCCAAGAGGUUCAGAAAACUAAAACAUUGUAUUAUAUCAUUAUACUCAUUCGAUCAAUUCCAAAAGAAUCUAAUGCAAAUCACUGGAAUACAAUAUCACAUAAAAUUGGAAUACUCUAUCAUGUUUUGUUAUGUCACUACAGAUUAAUAAUCAAACCUCCCUUUUGAAUUCUCACUCACUUGCAAUUGUAGCUGAACGGAAGCCAAAAGUAAUUGAUUUGAGUGCUGCAAUAUGCAGAAAUACAGAGAGAAAAUAGGCUAUAAAUCACAAACGAACCUGUAAGGCAGUUAUUAAAGGAUUUCUACUCUCACCACAUAUAAGAUCACAUUUUUUUACUGGCAAAUGAUUGAAAACAUCAGUUAUUAAAAUACUAUAAAUAAGCAGCUACCACAAACGGACCUGUAAGGCAGAACGCAUAAGCUCGUCAACAUAAUCAAUAGUAGCACAUAAGUUACCAACUCCAGAUCACAAAUCAUAUUCCUCAGAAUCCUUUGGGCAGGCUCAGCAAAUAAAAAUAUAGCUCAGAAAGAUGGAACUGGAACUGGAAAUAGAAAUAGAAUCAUACCGUCAGCAGAUGGUUGAGAGGCACUUUGAAUUCCUUGAUGGCGAAUUUCAGAACUAAAAUAUAGAGAAAGAAAAAGAAUUAAACCAGUAACAAUUACAAUAAAGCUUAAAACUGAUUCUUGACAUAUGUGUAAAGAAUAGAAGAAAAGUAUAACAUUGUGAUAAAAGCAACAAUGCCUGCAAGAUUUCAAACAACAGUGAUAAAAUACCUCAAAGAAUUUCAUUACUUUU
rnacentral:lncRNA from 1 species